GGAUCCAGACUUUGAUCCUGGCUCAGGACGAACGCUGGCGGCGUGCCUAAUACAUGCAAGUAGAACGCUGAAGAGAGGAGCUUGCUCUUCUUGGAUGAGUUGCGAACGGGUGAGUAACGCGUAGGUAACCUGCCUUGUAGCGGGGGAUAACUAUUGGAAACGAUAGCUAAUACCGCAUAACAAUGGAUGACUCAUGUCAUUUAUUUGAAAGGGGCAAAUGCUCCACUACAAGAUGGACCUGCGUUGUAUUAGCUAGUAGGUGAGGUAACGGCUCACCUAGGCGACGAUACAUAGCCGACCUGAGAGGGUGAUCGGCCACACUGGGACUGAGACACGGCCCAGACUCCUACGGGAGGCAGCAGUAGGGAAUCUUCGGCAAUGGGGGCAACCCUGACCGAGCAACGCCGCGUGAGUGAAGAAGGUUUUCGGAUCGUAAAGCUCUGUUGUAAGUCAAGAACGAGUGUGAGAGUGGAAAGUUCACACUGUGACGGUAGCUUACCAGAAAGGGACGGCUAACUACGUGCCAGCAGCCGCGGUAAUACGUAGGUCCCGAGCGUUGUCCGGAUUUAUUGGGCGUAAAGCGAGCGCAGGCGGUUUGAUAAGUCUGAAGUUAAAGGCUGUGGCUCAACCAUAGUUCGCUUUGGAAACUGUCAAACUUGAGUGCAGAAGGGGAGAGUGGAAUUCCAUGUGUAGCGGUGAAAUGCGUAGAUAUAUGGAGGAACACCGGUGGCGAAAGCGGCUCUCUGGUCUGUAACUGACGCUGAGGCUCGAAAGCGUGGGGAGCGAACAGGAUUAGAUACCCUGGUAGUCCACGCCGUAAACGAUGAGUGCUAGGUGUUGGAUUCUUUCCGGGAUUCAGUGCCGCAGCUAACGCAUUAAGCACUCCGCCUGGGGAGUACGACCGCAAGGUUGCAACUA
rnacentral:rRNA from 1 species